GAUGAACGCUGGCGGCGUGCCUAACACAUGCAAGUCGAGCGAGGGUUUGCUCAGUAUUGAGUAUUCUAACAACUAGAAUGUUCAAUUCUGAGCAAAACCAAGCGGCGGACGGGUGAGUAACGCGUGGGUAACCUGCCCUAUACACAUGGAUAACAUACUGAAAAGUUUACUAAUACAUGAUAAUAUAUAUUUGCGGCAUCGCAGAUAUAUCAAAGUGUUAGCGGUAUAGGAUGGACCCGCGUCUGAUUAGCUAGUUGGUGAGAUAACUGCCACCAAGGCGACGAUCAGUAGCCGACCUGAGAGGGUGAUCGGCCACAUUGGAACUGAGACACGGUCCAAACUCCUACGGGAGGCAGCAGUGGGGAAUAUUGCACAAUGGGCGAAAGCCUGAUGCAGCAACGCCGCGUGAACGAUGAAGGUCUUCGGAUCGUAAAGUUCUGUUGCAGGGGAAGAUAAUGACGGUACCCUGUGAGGAAGCCCCGGCUAACUACGUGCCAGCAGCCGCGGUAAUACGUAGGGGGCUAGCGUUAUCCGGAUUUACUGGGCGUAAAGGGUGCGUAGGUGGUCCUUCAAGUCGGUGGUUAAAGGCUACGGCUCAACCGUAGUAAGCCGCCGAAACUGGAGGACUUGAGUGCAGGAGAGGAAAGUGGAAUUCCCAGUGUAGCGGUGAAAUGCGUAGAUAUUGGGAGGAACACCAGUAGCGAAGGCGGCUUUCUGGACUGCAACUGACACUGAGGCACGAAAGCGUGGGUAGCAAACAAG
rnacentral:rRNA from 1 species